rnacentral:lncRNA from 1 species
UUUUGGAGACCAUUGAAGUUGCUCUUGUUACCGGCAAUUUCGUUUUGCAAGCGCCUGCCUAUACUUUUUUUUUUACCAAAUUCCCUCCCUAAUCUUUUUUCUCUACAAAUGAUUAUACUUGUGUAUAGUUGUGUUCUUUUUUCUUUUCUUCUCUUUCUCCGGAAAUGUUCUGUCACCACGAGAACAGAAUUAUUGUUUGCCCUGGAAUUCAUGUGUCCA